rnacentral:rRNA from 1 species
GAUGAACGCUAGCGACAGGCUUAACACAUGCAAGUCGAGGGGCAGCGGGAUAGUUGGCUUGCCAACUAUUGCCGGCGACCGGCGCACGGGUGAGUAACGCGUAUGCAACUUACCUAUCAGAGGGGGAUAGCUCAUCGAAAGAUGAAUUAAUACCGCAUAAAACAGGGGUCCCGCAUGGGAAUAUUUGUUAAAGAUUCAUCGCUGAUAGAUAGGCAUGCGUUCCAUUAGGCAGUUGGCGGGGUAACGGCCCACCAAACCGACGAUGGAUAGGGGUUCUGAGAGGAAGGUCCCCCACAUUGGUACUGAGACACGGACCAA